rnacentral:rRNA from 1 species
AUUGAACGCUGGCGGCAGGCUUAACACAUGCAAGUCGAGCGGGGGAAGGUAGCUUGCUACCGGACCUAGCGGCGGACGGGUGAGUAAUGCUUAGGAAUCUGCCUAUUAGUGGGGGACAACAUAGCGAAAGGGAUGCUAAUACCGCAUACGUUCUACGAGAGAAAGCAGGGGAUCUUCGGACCUUGCGCUAAUAGAGCGGCCUAAGUCGGAAUAGCUAGGUGGUGGGGUAAAGGCCUACCAAGGCGACGAUCUGUAGCGGGUCUGAGAGGAUGGUCCACCACAAUGGGACUGAGACACGGCCCAGACUCCUACGGGAGGCAGCAGUGGGGAAUAUUGGACAAUGGGGGGAACCCUUAUCCAGCCAUGCCGCGUGUGUGAAGAAGGCCUUAUGGUUGUAAAGCACUUUAAGCGAGGAGGAGGCUACUCUAGUUAAUACCUAGGGAUAGUGGACGUUACUCGCAGAAUAAGCACCGGCUAACUCUGUGCCAGCCGCCGCCGUAA